GCUAGCGUGGCUCAGUCGGUAGAGCACGUCACUCGUAAUGACGGGGUCGGGGGUUCGAUUCCCCCCGCUAGCUCCA
rnacentral:tRNA from 1 species